rnacentral:tRNA from 3 species
GCCGACUUAGCUCAGUAGGUAGAGCAACUGACUUGUAAUCAGUAGGUCACCAGUUCGAUUCCGGUAGUCGG